GACAAAUAUGGUCGCAUUACAUCUGUUG
rnacentral:sRNA from 1 species